GAUGAACGCUGGCGGCGUGCCUAAUACAUGCAAGUCGAGCGAAUGGAUUAAGAGCUUGCUCUUAUGAAGUUAGCGGCGGACGGGUGAGUAACACGUGGGUAACCUGCCCAUAAGACUGGGAUAACUCCGGGAAACCGGGGCUAAUACCGGAUAACAUUUUGAACCGCAUGGUUCGAAAUUGAAAGGCGGCUUCGGCUGUCACUUAUGGAUGGACCCGCGUCGCAGUAGCUAGUUGGUGAGGUAACGGCUCACCAAGGCAACGAUGCGUAGCCGACCUGAGAGGGUGUUCGGCCACGCUGGGACUGAGACACGGCCCAGAUGCCUACGGGAGGCAGCAGUAGGGAAUCGUCCGCAAUGGACGAAAGUCUGACGGAUCAACGCCGCGUGAGUGAUGAAGGCUUUCGGGUCGUAAAACUCUGUUGUUAGGGAAGAACAAGUGCUAGUUGAAUAAGCUGGCACCUUGACGGUACCUAACCAGAAAGCCACGGCUAACUACGUGCCAGCCGCCGCAGUAA
rnacentral:rRNA from 1 species